UAUUGUAUUAUACCACUAUAUUGUAAUAUUAUUAGUAAUAUUACAUGUAAUAUAUUAUUAUUAUAUUGUAUAAUUAUUAGUAUUGUAUUGUAUUACAUUGUAAUAUUAUUAUCAAUAUUAUAUGUAUAUACAUAUAAUACAGUAGAGUCUCACUUAUCCAACAUAAACGGGCCAGCAGAACAUUGGAUAAGCGAAUAUGUUGGAUAAUAAGAAGGGAUUAAGGAAAAGCCUAUUAAACAUCAAAUUAGGUUAUGAUUUUACAAAUUAAGCACCAAAACAUCAUGUUAUACAACAAAUUUGACAGAAAAAGUAGUUCAAUAUUCAGUAAUGCUAUGUAGUAAUUACUGUAUUUACGAUUUUAGCACCAAAAUAUCACGAUAUAUUGAAAACAUGUGUUGGAUAAUCCAGAACGUUGGAUAAGUAAGACUCUACUGUACAUUGGUUGCAGAAAGAAAAAUAGGUUCAAUGUUCAGUUUGAAUUAUGUAUGGGACUGGGGAAAAUUCCUUGAGCAUGCAUUGCUCAAAAAAAAAAAAAAGAUGACAAUUUAUUGAGUUGCUGAUAGGCAAGGCAAGAACCGGUGCCCUUUGAGACCGCCUCGGAAACCUCAGCGUGCGGCGACCGGGUUUCUUUUGCAUACAGCCCAUGAGCCAUCGCGCGAGGACUUCCGACUCGAUUUAACAGAGGAAAUCGUAAGGGCCAGAGAAGCAGAUAGGGAAACAGAAGAAGGGCCUGCCUCAGGGGAGCGUGCUUGCUCCAUCCAUGUUGAACAUUUACACCAAUGAUCAGCCACUGCCAGAAGGGACAGAGAGUGUCAUCUAUGCUGACGAUCGUGCCAUCACCGCCCAAACAGGGAGCUCUGAAAGGGUUGAACAGAAGCUCUCUGAAGCUUUAGGUGCUCUUACUGCCUCUUACAGGGAAAACCAGCUGAUUCCUAAUCCAUUUAAAAUACAGACGUGUACUUUUCACCUUAAGAACAGACAAGCAUCUCGGGCUCUAAGGAUCACAUGGGAAGGAAUCCCACUGGAGCACUGCAGCACACCCAAAUACGUGGGAGUUACCCUGGACCACGUUCUGACCUAUAAGAAGCACUGCUUGACUAUAAAGCAAAUAAUGGGCUCAAGAAACAAUCUCAUAUGAAAGCUGACUGGCACAACAUGAGCAUCACAACCAGAUACAAUGUGCUUUUCCCUAGCGCUUUGCAUUUCUGCUGCUGAAUACACCUGCCCAGUAUGGAACACAUCCCACCAUGUUACAACAGUGGAUGUGACUCUUAAUGAGACAUGCAACAUAAUCACAGGAUGCCUACGCCUCACACCGCUGUAUAAAUUAUACUGUUUAUCCAGUAUUGCACCACUUGACAUCCGCCGGGAAGUAGCAGGCAGUAAUGAAAGGACUAAGGCAUGGACAUUUCCGGCCCAUCCUCUAUUUGGAUAUCAGCCAGCAUGCCAAUGCCAUAAAUCAAGAAAUAGCUUCCUAAGAUCUACAGAGAUACUUACAGGAACACCUCAGCAAGCAAGAGUCCAAAAGUGGCAGGCUAAAACACGUAUCCUCAAUCCAUAGCUGAUACCGGAUGAGAGACUCCUUCCUGGGCACACAGAAGACUGGGCGACUUGGAAGGCGCUGAACAGACUGCGCUCUGGUCCCACGAGAUGCAGAACCAGCCUCAAGAAAUGGGGCCACUAAAUAGAGUCCACAACAUGCGAGUGUGGAGAAGAGCAAACCACAGACCACCUAUGACAAUGCAGCCUGAGCCCUGUCACAUGCACAGUGGAGGACCUUCUUAUAGCAACACCAGAGGCACUCAAAGCGGCCAGCUACUGCUCAAAGCACAUUGAGUAUAAUAACAAGUUUAUAACUUUUUGUGUUUUUAAAUAUAUUACAACUAUACCCUUGGUUUGCUUCUGACAUGAUAAACAUACUGUAUGAAGGCAAUUUGACUCCAUUUGAUUUACCACAGCUCAAUGCUAUGGGAGUUGUAGUUUGACAAGACCUUUAGCUGCUUCCUCAAUAAACUACAACGCCCAGGAUUCUAUAACAUUUGGCUCUGGGCAGAUAAAAAGUAAAUGCAACCAACUGUUUUCCCAACUCUGUUUCUUUCCACGUAAAAUAAUAUCACUGAAGUUAUUGUUGUUCAAAAUACAUUGGCUGCAGAAAACUACUUGAGCAUCCAUUGCACACACAAAAAGGUAUGACCAGUUGCUAUAAAGGCUGGUACAUUUUCCACAAAGCAUAACCCUGCACCUUUUGAGACCGCCUCGGAAACCUCAGAGUGCGAAGGCCGGGUUUAUUUGCAUAUAGCCCAUGUGGCCCAGCGCGAGGACUUCCGACUUGAUUUGGCUGCGGGAAUCGUAAGGAAAGCACUUGGAAAAAAAAAAAGCUCUUUAAAGCAUUGCGACUCUUGUUUGUUCCAAGGAAGGCAUACGAUCAGAGCGGAAGCUUUGAGUAGACAUCCUAAUGUAAAAGGAGGUCGCCCGUGAAUUUGGCAUGACUUUGUCAUUCAGAUUUUCAGGUGCUCUUGGUUCUAUUCCUCGCGUCAUUGGAGUGGUUAAGCUCCCUAAACCGCGAUAAAUAGUAAUUUUUGGAGGCCUGCCGUCGGGCCAAUAUUGUACUGUAAUAAUAGAUAUAUGCUGGCAGUAUCUGACCCUACCUGGGGCAAUAUCCUUGUAGUUGGCCAGUUUGGCAGCUGGGUGGAGAGUUCCCUGGGUAAGGAAUGAACUACAAUUUUCAGAUCCUAGGUAAAUAACUCUCAACUCAUAGUUGGCCAUGGUCCAGAUCUGAUGUCAGCUGGGUUCAUUGCUUUCUGGUUGCAAGUAAGCUAUAACUCCCAGAAUCAAGGUCCAUUCCCACUAACCCCUGCAGUAUAUUCAGAUGGUCAAGGGGUUUCUCUGUGCCAAGUGCGGUCUCAGUCCAUUGUCAGCAGGGGUCACAGUAUCAGUGAAGGGACUGCAAAUCCCAUUAUCCGUGACAAGUUUGGUCCAGAUCCAUCCUUGGUUGGGUUAACAGUACUCUCUGGAUGGAGGUCAGGUGCAACUCUUGUAAACCAUGGUGAAUUCUCCCCAAACCUCUUGCUCAGUUGCUGAUCCAUUCCUCUGUUAACUGUGUGCCCAUACGAAAGGGUAGGAAAGGGUUAAGGGAGAGGCAAUGGGCGGGGUCAGGCGGAGGUUGUCUGUGUAAGUGGACACGUUCACCACAUACACAUUUUCACUUUUACUAUGUAUGUGUGUGUGUGUGUGUAUAUAUAUAUAUAUAUAUAUAUUAGCAGAUAUGUGAUAACGAUGAGGUUUGCAAUUAAGUUCAUUGUGUCUAGUAAAAGUUCUGCAACUUUGUUUUGGAACUGAAGGCACAACUGAGAAAAGUAUAUGCAGCUCUGAUUGGAGUUGGUCCUAUUUUUAAUAGCUAGCCAUUGGAUUUUGGGAGUUAUAGUUUACUCCUCACAAUGGAUCCCACUAACAAUAGAUCUGGACCAAUAAUAAUAAUAAUAACAGAGCUAUAAGGAGAGGUGGGUAAUAAAUACAUCAUCAUCAUCAUAAUCAUCAUCAGUACAUGAAAUCCAACAUAUAUACAUAUACAGUAUCUCGUUUGCUGUGAAAUACUCUGUCUUUGUGUCAAUAAUAAUAAUGCAUUUAUUACGCAGCUCUCCUUAUGGCUCUAGGAGGACACAAUACAGUUAAAAUACAUAAUUAUAAUAGAAUACAUUUACUAAAGGGUAUAUAUUAAUAUGUAUUUCUAUAAAAUAAACAUAUUUAAAAUGUAAA